rnacentral:rRNA from 1 species
AAAAGAACCCCGGCGAGGGGAGUGAAAAAGAACCUGAAACCGUGUACGUACAAGCAGUGGGAGCCCCACCACCAAAGCAUUCUCUGGUGUUGAAGGCCCUGCAAAGCAGCAUCGCGGUGGCGGAGCGUCGUUUGCGACGCCCAACACACAAAACAAGCGGUGAAUGCUUUGGGGUGGGGUGACUGCGUACCUUUUGUAUAAUGGGUCAGCGACUUAUAUUCUGUAGCAAGGUUAACCGAAUAGG